rnacentral:pre_miRNA from 1 species
GUCUUACCUGAACAAUAUUAGAAGCUUCGAUCUGUCUAAUACUGUCAGGUAAUGAUGCU